rnacentral:rRNA from 1 species
UAGCGGAGGAAAAGAAACCAACAGGGAUUGCCUUAGUAGCGGCGAGUGAAGCGGCAAAAGCUCAAAUUUGAAAUCUGGCUCUUUCAGAGUCCGAGUUGUAAUUUGAAGAAGGUAUCUUUGGGUCUGGCUCUUGUCUAUGUUUCUUGGAACAGAACGUCACAGAGGGUGAGAAUCCCGUGCGAUGAGAUGAUCCAGGCCUAUGUAAAGUUCCUUCGAAGAGUCGAGUUGUUUGGGAAUGCAGCUCUAAGUGGGUGGUAAAUUCCAUCUAAAGCUAAAUAUUGGCGAGAGACCGAUAGCGAACAAGUACAGUGAUGGAAAGAUGAAAAGAACUUUGAAAAGAGAGUGAAAAAGUACGUGAAAUUGUUGAAAGGGAAGGGCUUGAGAUCAGACUUGGUAUUUUGUAUGUUACUUCUUCGGGGGUGGCCUCUACAGUUUAUCGGGCCAGCAUCAGUUUGGGCGGUAGGAGAAUUGCGUUGGAAUGUGGCACGGCUUCGGUUGUGUGUUAUAGCCUUCGUCGAUACUGCCAGCCUAGACUGAGGACUGCGGUUUAUACCUAGGAUGUUGGCAUAAUGAUCUUAAGUCGCCCGUCUU